rnacentral:rRNA from 1 species
AGGAUUAACGCUGGCGGCGUGCCUAACACAUGCAAGUCGAACGAGGUAGCAAUACCUAGUGGCAGACGGGUGAGUAGCGCGUGGUCAACCUACCGUUGAGUGGGGGAUAACUAGCCGAAAGGUUAGCUAAUACCGCAUACGUCUCCGAGGGGCAUCCCUUGGCGAUAAAAGGAGCAAUCCGCUCGAUGACGGGACCGCGUCCCAUUAGCUAGUUGGUGGGGUAACGGCCUACCAAGGCGUCGAUGGGUAGCUGGUUUGAGAGAGCGACCAGCCACACUGGGACUGAGAUACGGCCCAGACUCCUACGGGAGGCAGCAGUGAGGAAUUUUCCGCAAUGGGCGAAAGCCUGACGGAGCGACGCCGCGUGUGGGAAGAAGGCCUUCGGGUCGUAAACCACUGUCGAAGGGAAGAUAAUGACGGUACCCUUGGAGGAAGCCCCGGCUAACUACGCGCCAGCAGCCGC